CUGUAGUAUAACACCUGACUCUGCCCAGCUGGAGAUUAUAACAUUUUAUGCUGCCCUGCCGGAGAUAAUACCAUCUGCGUCCUCUGUGCAGGAGGGUCUAACAUCUGACGCUGUCCAGACAGAGAGAAAGCCUAGGCGAUUCUCACGCCGCUGGUGGCAGAGGCAGUGCCUCAAAUACUUAUGCUGCUGUUUUAAAGCACCUGGGAUUUAUGGCCAAUAAGAUACUGUUGUGCAUGAAAGCCCCAGGAGAUUGCCAGUCUGGAACCAACAAUCAUCCUACGGUCAAAGUCACUCAGAUCAGAUUUCUACCCAGUAAUUGGCCUGAGCAACAACUGAACCUCCUGACCAUGUGUGCAUUCUUUUAUGCAUUGAAUGACUGCUACAUAAAUGGCUGAUUAGAUAAUUGCAUUAAUGGGGGAAGCAAAAACAGAUGAAACACACCACAGCUUUCUUACAGUUCUGUAACGCUGACUCCGGGAUUCUCCUGUACAUGGACGUAGCUGUCAGAGGACUAGCAUCCCUGAGGUGGACUGGAUUAUUCAAUAUGACCCCCACCAGAUGAUCCCAAGUUGACUCCACUAGCUCUGAGAAGGUGACAUUGUGCAUUGGAGUUCUUUAUGGAUCUGGUCUUGGGUUGUGGAAUUUACCCCCUUCUCGCUGCUCAUCCAUCGGGUUGGCAGGACGGCGCGGGGGAUUGAUGUAAAGGGCCACUGCUGAUUCUGAGGCCAGAGGAGCUGGGAUUUCUGCAUCACCUAAAGCAGGCUAAGGUACCUCUGAGUGAGUUUGAAUUCUCCUGGAGUAAAAUCUCAGACAUCCAAUCUCAGCUGGAGAAACUAAUAGAAAAGAAUCACUAUCUGCACAAGUCGGCCCAGGAAGCCUACAAAGCCUAUAUCUGAUCCUACAACUCCCACUCGCACAAGCAGAUAUUCCACGUGAACACACUGGACCUGUUCAAGGUCUGCCUGUCCUUCGUCUUCCUGAUCCCACCAUAUGCUGACCUCAAUGUGAGCAGCAGCGGAGGAAGGAGGAUCCAGAAACGAGGCGGUGGGGGCGGCUUUGGCUACCAGAACAUUUCCUUAAUAACCCUCUAUUUCCUUUUUACUCUGGGUGGCGAUGGGAGGCUGAGUUAUCACUUAGUGGAAGGGUGGCAAUGGGAGGCCAUGUUAUCACUUAGAGGAAGGGUGGCGAUGGGAGGCCAUGUUAUCACUUAGAGGAAGGGUGGCGAUGGUAGUCCAUAUUAUCACUUAGAGGAAGGGUGGCAAUGGGAGGCCAUGUUAUCACUUAGAAGAAGGGUGGCGAUGGGAGGCCAUGUUAUCAUUUAGAGGAAGGGUGGCGAUGGUAGUCCAUAUUAUCACUUAGAGGAAGGGUGGCAAUGGGAGGCCAUGUUAUCACUUAGAAGAAGGGUGGCGAUGGGAGGCCAUGUUAUCACUUAGAGGAAGGGUGGCGAUGGGAGGCCAUGUUAUCAUUUAGAGGAAGGGUGGCGAUGGGAGGCCAUAUUAUCACUUAGAGGAAGGGUGGCAAUGGGAGGCCAUGUUAUCACUUAGAGGAAGGGUGGCGAUGGGAGGCCAUGUUAUCAUUUAGAGGAAGGGUGGCGAUGGGAGGCCAUAUUAUCACUUAGAGGAAGGGUGGCAAUGGGAGGCCAUGUUAUCACUUAGAAGAAGGGUGGCGAUGGGAGGCCAUGUUAUCACUUAGAAGAAGGGUGGCGAUGGGAGGCCAUGUUAUCACUUAGAGGAAGGGUGGCGAUGGGAGGCCAUGUUAUCAUUUAGAGGAAGGGUGGCGAUGGUAGUCCAUAUUAUCACUUAGAGGAAGGGUGGCAAUGGGAGGCCAUGUUAUCACUUAGAAGAAGGGUGGCGAUGGGAGGCCAUGUUAUCACUUAGAAGAAGGGUGGCGAUGGGAGGCCAUGUUAUCACUUAGAAGAAGGGUGGCGAUGGGAGGCUGGGUUAUCACUUAGCUGAAGGGUGGCGAUGGGAGGUCGAGUUUUCACUUAGCUAAAGGGUGGCAAUGGGAGGCCAGGUUAUCACUUAGUGGAAGGGUGGCAAUGGGAGGCCAGGUUAUCACUUAGUGGAAGGGUGGCGAUGGGAGGCCAGGUUUUCACUUAGCGGAAGGGUGGUGAUGGAAGGCCAGGUUAUCAUUUAGCGGAAAGUUAUGUAGUCCCAAUGGAGGGCUGUUUUAGUGACCUCACAUGUACGGACCGUGUAGCUCAUGGGAAGAGGGUCCAGAAACGAGGUGGUGGGGGUGGCUUUGGCUACCAGAACUCCAAACGUCUUCAGAAAGCCAAGAUCUUCAAACACAUUAACAAGGGCGGUCGGAGCCAGGGGCGUCAGUUCACCUGCUGAUUAUCUCCGAAGAUUUUAUGAUACGAACCCUCCACCUGAUGAUUCUCCUUUUACAGUAAAGUUGUAUUUUUUCAGAGAACUGUUAUUGGCAUUUGUUAGACGUCCCUUGUAAACUGGGCCGAAACCAAACUAAUGAUUGUAUCGGGCUCUGAGCACCCGUUGCCGUUCUGAUUGUGUUUCACUCAGAGUAGUUUAUUCCCCUUCCCACACCUAAAGUCCUCCAUAUCUAGUGGACUUAGGAGGUCAUUCCGAGUUGUUCGCUCGCAAGGCGAUUUUAGCAGAGUUGCUCACGCUAAGCCGCCGCCUACUGGGAGUGAAUCUUAGCAUCUUAAAAUUGCGAACGACGUAUUCGCAAUAUUGCGAUUACACACCUCGUAGCAGUUUCUGAGUAGCUUCAGACUUACUCGGCAUCUGCGAUCAGUUCAGUGCUUGUCGUUCCUGGUUUGACGUCACAAACACACCCAGCGUUCGCCCAGACACUCCUCCGUUUCUCCGGCCACUCCUGCGUUUUUUCCGGACACGGUAGCGUUUUUUCCCACACGCCCAUAAAACGGCCUGUUUCCGCCCAGUAACACCCAUUUCCUGUCAAUCACACUACGAUCGCCUGAGCGAAGAAAAAGCCGUGAGUAAAAAUCCAAACUUCAUAGCAAAUUUACUUGGCGCAGUCGCAGUGCGGACAUUGCGCAUGCGCACUAAGCGGAAAAACGCUGCGAUGCGAAGAAAUUUUCCGAGCGAACGACUCGGAAUGACCUCCUUAGUUCAUAAGUUUAGGUUGGUAAAUGUAAGGUAAUUCAGGACUAAUCCCUUAUUACAUUUAGCUCAGCGACAUCUACAGCCGUUGAUACCCAUUCAUAGGAAAUGGUGGACAACGUGCUUAUUUUGUGAUCGAAUUCUCAGAUCUAGGCCGUGUUCAGGGGAUGAAUGAGAAAAUCACCAUGACUAGGGAUGUCAAGAACAGAACCACUUGUUCCCUAAGUACUGAAGACCUGCAGAUGGGGAAGAUCUCAGUGACCUCAGAUAACUGAUGGAU